rnacentral:rRNA from 1 species
AUGAAUCUCCUCGCCUGGAACUGCCGAGGAUUGGGGUUGGACUCGGCGGUGGGUGAACUACGGGACCUCAUUAGGUCACACAACCCAGCGGUGGUUUUCUUAUCUGAAACUAAAAAAAGGUCGGGGGCAAUGGAGAGACUCAAGUGGAGUUUGGGGUUCAGCAAGGGGGUCGCGGUGGAUUGCAAAGGAAAAAGUGGAGGCCUUGCGCUUUGGUUCGGCCAUGGUGCCAAUACUAUAUAG